rnacentral:lncRNA from 1 species
UAAGAUUGUAGGAACUUACAACGCAAGUGGAAUCAUCCUGCCAUGAUACAGUCUGACGGGCAGAAGGGCACCAUGUGAUGAAAAGAGUGAUCAGGAGACAUCAGUGAAAAAGAGAGAUGGCGUCUUACUAUGUUGCCCAAACUAGUCUCGAACUCCUGGCCUCAAGCAAUUCCCUUGCCUUGGAAUCCCAUAACACUGGAAUUAUAGGCAUGAGCCACCACACUCAGCCUGACAUACUCAUUUUUAAGCAAAGGACUUCUAAGUCAUGGCUUGUUAAUCUAACACCGACGAUAACGUCCCAGGCAGAAGCCACAGCCCAGAAGACUUCCCAGCGUGGGAAGGCUUAGGAGACCAGCUGGCAUCAGGCACAUUCCACAGAAAUACUGAGAAACUUGUGAAGAACAAACAGACCUGGCAGGAGCAAGAGGAAGAUACCUGGCCUGAGUAGCACUAAAUAUGUCCCAAUUAAACAGAACUACUAUCCCAAUUAAGCAACUGUCAUGACCAUUAAUAAACACAAAAGGGUG